GGUUUGUCGCGUUGUUCGUGAAAUCUCACGGCUUAACUGUGAGCGUGCGGGCGAUACGGGCAGACUUGAGUACUGCAGGGGAGACUGGAAUUCCUGGUGUAGCGGUGGAAUGCGCAGAUAUCAGGAGGAACACCGGUGGCGAAGGCGGGUCUCUGGGCAGUAACUGACGCUGAGGAGCGAAAGCGUGGGGAGCGAACAGGAUUAGAUACCCUGGUAGUCCACGCCGUAAACGGUGGGUACUAGGUGUGGGUUUCCUUCCUUGGGAUCCGUGCCGUAGCUAACGCAUUAAGUACCCCGCCUGGGGAGUACGGCCGCAAGGCUAAAACUCAAAGAAAUUGACGGGGGCCCGCACAAGCGGCGGAGCAUGUGGAUUAAUUCGAUGCAACGCGAAGAACCUUACCUGGGUUUGACAUGCACAGGACGCCGGCAGAGAUGUCGGUUCCCUUGUGGCCUGUGUGCAGGUGGUGCAUGGCUGUCGUCAGCUCGUGUCGUGAGAUGUUGGGUUAAGUCCCGCAACGAGCGCAACCCUUGUCUCAUGUUGCCAGCGGGUAAUGCCGGGGACUCGCGAGAGACUGCCGGGGUCAACUCGGAGGAAGGUGGGGAUGACGUCAAGUCAUCAUGCCCCUUAUGUCCAGGGCUUCACACAUGCUACAAUGGCCGGUACAAAGGGCUGCGAUGCCGCGAGGUUAAGCGAAUCCUUUUAAAGCCGGUCUCAGUUCGGAUCGGGGUCUGCAACUCGACCCCGUGAAGUCGGAGUCGC
rnacentral:rRNA from 1 species